GACGAACGCUGGCGGCGUGCUUAACACAUGCAAGUCGAACGGAAAGGCCCCAGCUUGGUGGGGUACUCGAGUGGCGAACGGGUGAGUAACACGUGGGUAACCUGCCCUGGACUCUGGGAUAAGCCUAGGAAACUGGGGCUAAUACCGGAUAGGAGCUUCCGCUGGAGGGUGGGGGGGGGAGUGUUUCGGUGGGGGAUGAGCCCGCGGCGUAUCAGCUUGUUGGUGGGGUAGUGGCUUACCAAGGCGGCGACGGGUAGCCGGCCUGAGAGGGUGGCCGGCCACAUUGGGACUGAGACACGGCCCAGACUCCUACGGGAGGCAGCAGUGGGGAAUAUUGCACAAUGGGCGCAAGCCUGAUGCAGCGACGCCGCGUGCGGGAUGACGGCCUUCGGGUUGUAAACCCCUUUCGGCAGGGACGAAGCGUUUGUGACGGUACUGGGAUAAGAAGCACCGGCUAACUACGUG
rnacentral:rRNA from 1 species